GGUGAACGCUGGCGGCGUGCCUAAUACAUGCAAGUCGAGCGAACGGAUAAGGAGCUUGCUCCUUUGAAGUUAGCGGCGGACGGGUGAGUAACACGUGGGUAACCUACCUAUAAGACUGGAAUAACUUCGGGAAACCGGAGCUAAUGCCGGAUAACAUUUGGAACCGCAUGGUUCUAAAGUAAAAGACGGUCUUGCUGUCACUUAUAGAUGGAUCCGCGCUGCAUUAGCUAGUUGGUAAGGUAACGGCCUACCAAGGCAACGAAUGCAUAGCCGACCUGAGAGGGUGAUCGGCCACACUGGAACUGAGACACGGUCCAG
rnacentral:rRNA from 1 species